GGGGGGGAGAUCAGGUUUUCGGUUUUGUUAAAAUUGGUUAGGGAUUUACUUGUAAUGCAAAUUUCAUAAGUGGCAUCAUAAAGUGCUCCUAGCACUAUUGGUAGAGAAUCCUAGAAUCUUAUAAGAGUUGGCUAACCAAAUGGGUAGCUAAAAAAAAAAUAGAAAAAAUAAAUAAGAGUUGUCUAACCCCCUUUACGCUAGAUGUUCAGAUGAAAACUGACAUCAAGUUUUGUGAGAAAAUUUCUACAAAUAAGCAGAUUCGAGCUGAAGUUAAAAUGUUAUAUAAAUUUAUCUUUUUAUUUAGCUUAGUUGUUCUUCCAUUAUGAUUUGGGUACUUUAUAUGACUUUUUAUAUCUUUGUUUGUCUUUAUCAAAAUUUCAGAGUACAAAAGUUGAAGACUACGGUAGUUUUGGUUUGAAGAUUGCAUUGAAAGUUGGAGGUAAUUCGGUUUUUGAUUGAGUUUAAAAACUUGUUCUUUUCAUCUGAGGUUUUCAGAAGUUGACAUUUGCAUUUUAAAUUUAAUUAUGAAUAAGUUUGUUUUCAAGUUUACACGAUAUUGUGUUUUUUAAUAAAUGUAUCAUUCUUUAAAGGUUGUCAUAAUCACCAACUAGAUUCCAACCCGCGCUGAAGCGCGGAAAUUGAUUCAUCUAAUUUUAAUUUUAAUUUUUUGUAUAUAAUAUGUGUAUAUAAGUUUUAUAAAUAUUUUUGUGUAAUAUUUUUAUAUAUAUAUAUAUUUGACAUCUAUAUCUAAUUUUUAGUGGUGUUAUAAUUUGUGUUGUACAUGUUGUUAGUUUGUAUAGAAUCUUGUUUCAUUUUCAGUAUAAUAGUUUAACUUGGAUCACUUUAAACUUACAUUUGUUAAAUUUAAAAUAUUUGAUUUUUUUUUAAAAAAAUUAUUAUAUAAUUUCAACAACUUUAUUAGUUAUGCUUAUAACUAAUCAUAAUUAGUUUGUUAAAAAUAUUAAACACAUUUGGCCCAUAAAAUUUUAAUGGAUGUAUUUAAGAUCAAAAGUUUGGGCUAUUUAAUAGUUUAUGGAUCAGGCCUUCUAACAAAUUUAAUUUAACAAAUGAUAUUAUCUAAACCCAAAUGAGUAACAAACUUUUGUCCGGGAAAAAAAGAAAAUAAUCUGUAAAGUCAAAAACUUUUGAUGAUCAAUUAAUAUUUUGUUUCUGUCGGUGUGAAUAAUAGAUGCACCAUUCAAGUUCAUCGUUUCUCUCUCUCUUCUUCGUUGGAACCGAAACGAUCAGUUUACCGAAACAAUAAAAAAAAAUCAAUUGAUCUUCUACAAAGACUUUGUUUCUCAAGACAUGCAUGAUCUUUGCUAUUUGAUCGGAGGAAAAUAAUUUGAGAGAUCGAGUCAAGGAAACAGAUACUAUCCAGGUUGAAAGUAGCGGAUGCAAAAUCAGUGGCCGAUUUGAAACGAAAUACGUGGUUCGUCAAGUCAAUCGAGAAACAGAAAAGAUAAGUUUCAUAAUUUCUUUGAGUGUUUGUUUAUUCAUAAUAUCUAAUCUAAUAAAUCGAGCUUGUUACAAACAUUGGCAGAUUGAAAUAUAUUGGAUACAAAAAGCUAAGCUCAGCUGCGUUGAGAUAACACACACACUGCACGUAUCUGAAGGCUUUAUUCCAGACUCUAUUGGACUUUAAAUUGAGUAAAAGAACACCAAAGAGAUGGUAAAUCUAUCAAUGCGAUGCAUUAGUAGAAGUGGUCAAAUAUACCAGAUAAAACUGAUCAAGUUUAAGAAAAGAUAAGUCUCUUAUAUAUGUUUACUACAAUUAUCUCUGUUUUCUCAGUGGACUCUGUUUAUGAUACAAUUUAGUUCUUCUUUAUUAUCUUGUUCUUCUUUAUACUCUCUCUUAUUGUUGCUUUUUAAUUGUUGUUGGCACAAUAAUCUAACAGAUCAAACUCAUGUUUCGUUAUAUUAAUUAGAUCAUUGAUAAAGAUGGAAAAGAAGAGCAAUCAAAAAGACAGCAUGGGGACAGUUACUUACAACCAAUUUCGCAGCACAAAGGAUUAUUCAAGACAGUUCAUAGAAGAGCUACAACUUCACUACAACGUAUUUAAAAUAAGUAAUUCAGUUUAUACUUUCCAUGGUUGUAGGUGAAAUAUUUAUUAUACAUGAAAUUGUUAAAGAAUAAAUUUUUACUGAUUUUAUAAAGUACAUCAAUUAAUAAUCGUAGGUCACAAUGUUAUAAAAAAUAAUAGGAUAAAUAUAUCAUAAACCUGAAGAAAAAUUAAAUGAAACUCAACUUUAUUGAAACUCAAAUUAUUGAAAAAAAAACCAAACAAAUACGACAACUUGCAAAUAAACCAAAGUCUUAAAUAAUGAAGCAAAAAAAAAACGAAAUAGAGAAUGAGUAAAACUUUCAAAGUCCACUCUGAAAACUAAACGCAGCCUUUAACUACUCCCCAUCAUUCUUUUCCAGCUUGAUGUUCUUAAAGCGCUGUUUCUUUGAAGUAGAAGAAAGGUCUUCAAUUUGACUGUCCCUUGAACUUUCUGAACGUUUGGAGACUGGAGUUGAAGAUGCACCUUUGGUGUCUUCACUUUCAAUGCUUAACAAAGAAACCUUAAAAUAUAGGCAAAAAAUAUUAUUAAACCCAUAACAUGUUAAAUCCGUUUCACACAAAUCUAAUUUAUGGGAUACGUUUUACAAACCUUUCCAGAAGAAUGAUCAGAUAGUAGAGUGUUGUCAUCUUCACACAUGGAUAUUAUUUCAUUAGCAGACCAAGUUCCACCAAUGGUAAAUAUAUCAGCUUCAUAGUCAACAUUGUCUUUAGCAACAUACACACCAAACUUAAAAGUUUUCCCAAUAAGAGCAGUAAUAACAUCUGGCAAGUCUUCAGGAUCCUCAACCUAAAUAGCAUAAAUAGAGAACUCUAGAUUAAUAAACGACAAAUCAAAAAAGAACCCAUCAAAUAAAAAAUUCAGUUUGAGGCUUGUAUAUACCUCUUCCAGAGAACCAUCUAAGAGCACUUCAGCACUUACUCCAACAAUUGGUUCAGCAAUAGUAUCAAGCAACAUAACCUUAUUUUCACCGGUUUCAUCCUUUAUAAGUAGAUGUAAUUUGAACCUAAUAAGAUGUAUAAAAGUUAGGACAUUCAAAAAUAGGGUCAUAAACAAUUUAAGAUCAAGAUAUAAGAAACUUACUGAGGUGCAACUUUUUUCACAGAUUGUUUGCAUGAAUCACAACGCAGACAUGCUUCAGAGGCACCACAUCCUUCUUUGUUAUGUUGGUAACCUUUCUGUUGUUGCACUUAACACAACCAAAAUAAUACCAUGCCCAGUCUGUGUCUAUUGCAUAAACAGUUGCUUUAACAAUACAUUUCUCAAUCUACAAAAAAAGAUUAAUGUUAGUAAUCUUGUAGAUCAUUACAAUGGUUAAAAUCAUCAUGAUAAAACUAACCUCAGUUGACACUAGGAUAUCCAAUAUUGAUCUAUCUGGUUAAAGAGACCACUUGUGAUUGCAAGUUCAUUAUUUGGGACCCUAUUAUAAAUAGAGUGAUUAAUAACUUUUAAAAUAAUUUAAACUAUGUAAAAAAUAUAAAACAACAUACAAUGCUUGUGCUGGAUAAUCUUCCACAUCAAAUCCGGUUGGAUUGAUGACCAUACUGGAAAUUUUAAAUGCGUUUGUUAUCUGCACUUGCCCUAAAAAUGUAAAAUAAUAUUUUAGCUCAUAAAAAAACCAAUAAUUAUAAUAACAAAUAAAAAUCGUUGGUUAGAAACUUACCCUUGUAAACAUUGAUUUUAGAAAAUCUCAAUAAUCAGAUGUCAACAAAUCUUAAGAAGUUUAUCAACUUACUUUGUAUCGGUCAAUGUAAGUCCCAUCAUUUUUUUUUCUUUCCCACCUACUUGGACAACUUGAAGAUCGCCAAUAUCAAUGGCACGGCCAAUAACAUCUAAAACAAUAAAACAAAAGAGUAAUUAAUAUAAAUCAAAGCUGAUAAAUAUACAAGGAAAACACUAACUGUAUUUACCAACUAAAAAUUUUGAAUCAAGACUUCCAUUCAUGAUUGCUUGUAAAGGAGUUAACGUCAAGAAAUCAUCCUCGAUUUUCAGUUCGGAGUUGGUGACAUUGGUACUGCCUGUGAUGGUCAUCUUGUAUUUGUGGUUUGUUGGACGGUACUUUCCGGUAGCUGGAAUUACUGAAAAAUUCUCAAUAAACUUCCAUUGACCAACCUGGAGUUUCUUUACACGAGGAAAGAAGUUCCUCUUGCAGGUACAAUGUAUCUUAACACCCUAUACAUUAGAAAAAAUAAAAUUCGGUUUAGACGUUUUACAAUAAAAUAUUUAGCAUAACAAAACGGUGUAAACAUUUAUACACUUACGGUCUUAUCUGCAAGAAUGAAAUCAAAGGAGUCUCCACCAGAAUAAGUUGAGUGUUGAGUCCAUGAGUGAAGAACUUUGAUUUCAACUUUCCAAAUAUCUUUGAAUGGCUUGACAUCGUUCAACUGUCGGACUACGUUGUGCGUAACUAUAGCCAUGAGUCUUUUACUUAAUGAUGUUGAGGUGAAGAAAGUAUUAGGAUAUGAAUGCAUAUUUAUAGUGAUUAGAUAGUAACGUGUAGGUAUAAUGAAUAUAUUUAGGCAUAUUCUGAUUUCAGUAGUUUGUUGAAUUAGUUAUAUGUAGUUAAGAUAUUAGAUAAGAACAUAGUUGUGAAGGUGAUUGAUAGGGAGAUCGAAAUAUAAGGAAAUUUGUUUGAGUUUUUUGAAAAAAAAAUUAUGGAAGAUACAAUUAAUGUAUUUGAUCAAAUCUAUUCUUAAUGUGGUUAGAAUAUUCUGGAUAACGAUUGUAUGUAGAUAAUCAUUAGAUAUUAAACAAAUUGAAAUUACAAAAUAUCUAAUCUAUAUAUUUUUAUAUAAAGGAACAUAUAUUGUAUACGGGUAUGAAUUGUAUCUUCGGCUAUAAUAAACAAAUAAACAAAACAUAUGUAACGUAAACAAAAGUCAUGAUCUAAUCUAUAUAUGAUUGAGGCUUAUAUGCAGAUAAUUUUGUGUUCAUAAUCAGAUUUUUUAUUUGUUAGAAUGGUUAGUAUGAUGAAAGAUGGACAAAAUAGAAAAUAAUUUGAUCUGAAGAGAAGGAAAGACGGACAUCUACACUAAACAUGAUAACCUGUUGGUUUAGUUUUAUUGUAUUGCUUUAUUAAGAGCAGAUAACCUGUCGUUGUGGUUUUUGUUUAAUUUUGGAUGGUUUUAAUAUAUUAGAUAUUGGUUUAGUUUAAGUAAUCCGGUUGUAUGUAUUGGUUAAGUUUAAGUAGGUAUGUUCCAUUUAUAAUGUAGUGUGAUAUAUUCUUGUAACAUUUAUGAAAGAGGCCAAAACUUAAAUGACAACUUCAA